GUGCCAGCAGCCGCGGUAAUACGUAGGUGGCAAGCGUUAUCCGGAAUUAUUGGGCGUAAAGCGCGCGUAGGCGGGUUUUGUGAAGUGUGAUGGUGAAAGCGGAGGGGUCAACCGUGGAGGGUCACUGGAAACUGGAAAACUUGAGUGCCGAAGAGGAAAGUGGAAUUCCAUGUGUAGCGGUGAAAUGCGCAGAGAUAUGGAGGAACACCAGUGGCGAAGGCGACUUUCUGGUCUGUAACUGACGCUGAUGUGCGAAAGCGUGGGGAUCAAACAGGAUUAGA
rnacentral:rRNA from 1 species